rnacentral:lncRNA from 1 species
AAGACAUGAAAAAAAACCCCAGAACACACCUAUCGUCACCACCCUGACAAAGAACGCUGCCAGCCCCGUCCUCAAUCUCAAUAGACGCUGCCCUGCACCACCAUCAGCCUAGCCGCCAUCGACCCCUUAAUCUGAACAACCAAGAACACCAGCGAAGAGACCCCCGUCGCCAGACCUCUCACGUCGCUGACCAACUCCACGCCGACGACCACUGACUUUAACGUCGACGACCAACUCCACAUCCCUCGUCAGCCAUUAACGAACCCCACCAGCACUCACUGAAAACCAGUCGCCCAACCCAUAACGCCGGCGACCACAGUACUGCGACAAAACAACACCUCACGGCGAAGCUCCAAAACUAAUUACUAUUUUCUCCAUAGAUCUGGACCUUAGAACUCUAGUAUUACAACUCAUUCUUCAAGGAAUAAUGCAACAACAAAGAUAGCAAAUUCAGCAGCCGUAGCUCCCCAUUUCACUCCCAAUAUUCCAAACAGUCACUGAUUUCAUGUUCAAAAUACGUCGGAGUCGAUCCAAGAAAUGCGCGGAGUUACGAGGUUUUCCGGCUAGUUUUCCAUGUUAUAGUCACGGUUCUGCUCGUUGAGUUCCGGAAUGGGAACUUUGGAUCCGUCAAUAGAAGGUCCAAUUCUUUCUUUGUUACUCCAUCUUUCUCGAUAUGAUGCGUGUGUCCAUGACUUAGUUCUGACUUGUGUAAUGUUCCUCUCUUUGGAAAUGAUCUGAAGUUGUCUCACUAGCACAUCUUAGUGAAUAUUCAGAAGUCAAAUUGGCCAUUUUAUUUAAUCACAGUGAUGGUUUGUGAUAAA